CUGAGCCGCUGAUGAUAUAAAGUUAUCCCUGUCUGAAUUAAGAAACUUUGCUUUGUGGAAUUCUAACUCUGAGGCGCAG
rnacentral:snoRNA from 1 species